CCCCACAUCCCUCACCCCAUCCAUGCCUCAAUUCAUCCAGCCAUAAAUUGGGUCUAAUUACACCCACCUCACAGAGAAGACCAGGACUUAGCCACCAGAGCCAGUCCAAGUGAGGUGAAGGCAUCUCUCGAUGGGGGACUACUGUGUUUCAAGCUCUAUCCCAAUCCAUAGAGAAGCAUUAGGUUGACUGGAAAACUUCCCUGGAGGAGCUACAAAAUACAGUUUGGAUCAACAGCCCUAUAGGAAUGGGAAAUUCAGAUGCAGACAGGUGCUGAAGACCAUGUGAAGGCACAGGGAGGAGGUGGCCAUCUGCAAGCCAAGGAGAGAAGCCUCAGAAGAAACCAACCCUGCCAACACCGUGACCUCAGACUCCAGCCCCCAGAACUAGCCAUAGUUUGUCUUCCACAACUGGAGGUUUGAAAAGAAGGAUGAGGACACUGAAUCUCAGAGACGUCAAGUUCUUUCAUCGAGAUUCCAUAGAAUGUUCCCUGUUUCUUCAUCUAUGACAUGGGGAUAAUGUGAGUAUACCUACAUCAGAGGGCUGCGAUGAAGACUAAAUAAGCUCCUGCCAUCAAAAGUUGGAGUCUGUUUCCCCACGCCUUGAAUCUGGGCUGGCUCUAUGAUCCACUUUGGACAACAGAAUUUGGUGGAAGUGAUGCUAUGCCAAUGCUGAGGUGAGGCCUCAAGAGGCCUUGUGGGCUGUGACUCUUUUGGAACGCUGCCUAGCUGUCACGUGAACAAGGCUACUGCAUGAUGAGAGACCAUAUGGAGCCAAAACAUGCCUUUCCAGCUGAGGCCCUCCUAGUCCAGCCAGCCCUAGAUGCACAAGCUGGUGACCAAAGAUACAUGAGUGAGUCCAGAUGAGAAGUCCCUCGUUGAGCCCAGCCCAAUUGCUGAUCCACUGACUUGUGAGAUGGAGAAGCCGCUACGAGGUUUUGAAGGGAGAAAUUUGGAACCUAAAAAUUUUGAAGACUUCAUAGUAAAAGCAAUGAAGUACAAGCAAUAGAUAGACACUCUUAGAGAUCUAGAGACUUGAAAUAGAGAUGUAAGACAAAUCAAUGCUAAGAAUAUGAGAAUGGGGGACUUCUGGUAUGAAAGGGCAUGUAGUUCUUCUUUUACAAAACUUAGACCCCAAGAUUCAGCAAUUCAGCUGGAUGCUAUGUUAUCAGGUAAUAAUAAUUCUGCACCCUUGAGCUUAGUCCUCACAACUUCCCUCAGCUGCUCUUCUGCAACUUCACUGAGACCAAGAAUUAGAUUUCCCUAUUUGUAUGUUUCUUAAUACAAGUUACAUCACUUAAUUCAGAAAAAUAAGGAUCAGGAGAACCAAAGUCAUUUGUGGACUUGCAUGGGUCUCACAAUAAUUGAGUAGCAUUGUGGAAUUCCUACUGAGUUUGUCGAAAUGCAGCCUUGGCCUGACACCAGAGUCCACUACACCAGAGCACAGCUGGGACUGACAGAGGCUUCUGGACCUGUGCUGCCAUUUCCCCUGGCGCUUGGAUUUUCUGUGUCUUGAGGGCAAUGGGCUGUACCAGGAGGCAUCCACAGAUGCCUGCCUUUCUCUAAUAAUUUCUUCUGGGCAAUACCAGAGUAAGGCCGAAGAGUCCUGACUUGAUAGUCCCUGUGAGGUUGCAGUGCAGAGUAGGGGCCCAGCCUUCCCAGGCAUGCCCAGCCCCAGAACCUUCCUGCCUGGCGCUUUUCUUUAGGGAAGUCUCUCAGAUCCUUGGUUAGAAAACCAAGAGUGAGCACAUCUUCCUCUUUCAAGAUAGCUCUUUCCAUUGGUGAAAAGGCCAAGACAAAAGGAAACGCUGAGGUAGAAAGGGCCCUGACAUUUCACACUCAUGUUUCUGGCCCUGCUUUUUUUAGAAAAGUAACUCUUUCCCAUGGUUAGGGGAGAAGUCAGACCUUCCUGUUCCUCUUGAGCAGGGCAUGAAGCAAUUUUCAGCCCUGAUGUUGACACCAGGUCAUACCCCCACACCUUCUCCCUGGGCCAGGCUCUUUGGACUUCUGAGCUCUGGCCUUUCCAAUAGGAAAGUGACCAACUGGCCACAGAAACAAGAUCUGCAUAGCUUUUGCAGAGGAAAAGAAGUAGCAGGGAAUAGAAGCAAGGACUCAGACCCUUGGGCUGCCCAGCUUCGCUUCUCUCCCAGCUCGGCUUCUCUCCCAGCUCCAUUGCUUAUUAUCUGGGAGGAAUCAGACAAGUUACUUAACCUUUCUUAGUCUUGGUCUUCCCACUAGAAAAGUAUGGAGAUAGUGCUAUAUGCACAAGGGGAUUGUUUAUAGGAAUAAAUGAGAAGAUCUACACAGAGAGUUUAGUGUAGGGCUUGGAACAUAGUAAAUAUUCCACAGACAUUAAUUACUCUCAAGAUUAUUGAAGGUUGUAUCUAAAUCCUUAGUUUGAGCAGCCAUUUGAAUACACAGUGUACAGGAGGCAGGAUUGUGCACCUAGAGAGGGAGGACUCUGGAUUCAACGAGAUCUGGGUUCAAAUCCCCACUCCAAUAAUUACCAGUAAGCAGAAUGAACAUGGAAAAGUUAAUUCUCUUCUUUGAGCUUGAUUUCUCACCUUGUGCUUUCCUUGCAUGGUUCUUGUUGAGGGCUGGUGGUGGGGAGAUUAUGUGAAAUCAUGUAUGCCAGACACACAGUGGAUGUGCAAUAAUGGUUCCCAUUAUUACUAAGGAAUCAAGUCAAAUCCAUUCAAAGGAUGGCCUGAACCUUUAUGGGUCUGAUCACCAUUAAACAUGUGAAGGCGGGUUAGUCCGCUGGCAUUUUGUGUGUGGAGUGAAUCAAAAGAAAAAUUAAGGUCAAAAUGGCUUUCUUCAUUUGAUCAUUCACUUUUUCAUACCCCCAGUGCCUGGCACGGUGUCUGGCUUAUUUUAGGUCAUCAAUACAUAUUUGCUAAUUUAAAUAAAGCUUUAUUAAUGCCAACAUAUUUUGUAUGGGCAGGGCUGGCUCCAUGGGCAGCCAUGUUGGCAUGGCUAUGCUUGGGAGGGCCCCAUGACAUCUUCAAAGUCUUAAUAAUUUUUAAAUAAGGGCCCUUCAUUUUUAUUUUGCACUGGGCCCCACAAAUUAUGCAAUAAGUCUUGUGUACAGGCAAAUAAAAUGCAAUGUAAAAAGGCUGAUAUUUUCCUUCUAAAAAUUCUCCAUUGGCUCCUCAUUGCACCUAGAAGAAAUCCAAGCUCCUUAUAUGGCUUACCAGUCCUUAUAUGACUUACAUGGUCUCUGUAGUCACACACACCUUGAUUCCUAAACUCCAGCCACCCAGGCCUGCUCAUUUAACAGUCUGAGCUCUCUACCUGCUCCCCAUUUGGGUCUCAGCUCCUAAAUCACUUCCAUAGCAAGAUCCCUCCCUGACCAUCCUCCUAGCCACUCUGUCUUUUUAAAAAAUUUAUUUUAUAAUUUCAACUUUUAUUUUAGAUUUGGGGGUAUAUGUGCAAGUUUGUUACAUGGGUAUGUUGCGUGAUGCUGAGGUUUGAGGUAUGGAUCUCACCACUCAGGUAGUGAGCAUAGUACCCAAUAGGUAGUUUUUCAACCCCCAGGCCCCAUUUCCCUUCCGCUUCUAGUAGUCUUCAGUGUUGAGUGUUCCCAUCUUUAUGUCCAUGUGUACUCAAUGUUUAGCACCCAUUUAUAAGUGAGAACAUGCAGUAUUUGGUUUUCUGUUUCUGCAUUAAUUUGCUUAGGAUUAUGGCCUCCAGCUGCAUCCCUGUUGCUGCUGCAAAGGACAUGAUUUCAUUAUUUUUUAUGGCUGUGUAGUAUUCUUUUUUUUUUUUUUUUUUUUUUGAGAUGGAGUCUCACUCUGUCAUCCCAGGCUGGAGUGCAGUGGCGCGAUCUUGGUUCACUGCAAGCUCUGCCUCCCGGGUUCACACCAUUCUCCUGCCUCAGCCUCCUGAGUAGCUGGGACUACAGGCGCCCACCACCACGUCCUGCUAAUUUUUUGUAUUUUUAGUAGAGAUGGGGUUUCACUGUGUUAGCCGGGAUGGUCUCGAUCUCUUGACCUCGUGAUCCGCCCGUCUUGGCCUCCCAAAGUACUGAGAUUACAGGCAAGAGCCACUGCACCCGGCCACGACUGUGUAGUAUUCUAUGGCAUAUACAUACCACAUUUUCUUUAUGUAAUCUGCUUGUGGUGGGCCCCUAGGCUGAUUCCAUGCCUUUGCUAUUGUGAAUAGCCCAAUCCAUUUUCUUAGCCUGCUUUACACUCUUCGUAGCUUCUGAUGCUUUCUGAAAGGAGUUAGAGUUUACUUUUAUGUUGACUUGUUUAUUUUCUGUUUCCCCCACUGUACUAAACUUGAUGGAGCAGCCAUCUUCCUGUCUCAUUCCCUCCCUUGUUCCCAAAGCAUUGCCCAGCCCUCAGCACACAGUGGGUGCUCUGAAUACUUAUGGACUGAAGAAUGAAUGAACUUGGCAGUUCUGGGAUUUUAAUCUUAAAAUGCCGAUCCUUCAGGACUUUCUCCAAUGGGAAAGUGAGACCAGAAUUGGCACCAUAUACCCUAGUUGGGGAUGAGUGACCAUUUGUCUCCAUAGCCUCCCAGUUGAGCAAGAUGUCCACCAUUUCCAUGUUCUCCUGGUAACACAAGCUGUGAAGGGCUGGAAGUUGGGGCUUGGCUCCUAAGCCCAGUCUCCCGGGUCAGGUCCCUGCAGUAGGAUCCAGUCUGCAGAUGGAGAUGUAGAAAGGUCUGGAUAGCUGGUGUGAACCAAGAGGCAGGAAACAGGAGAUUGAUAGCAAUGAAAACAUUGGAUGAGAAGUCACUUAACCCAAUGCCCCAUUUUACGGAAAAGAAUAUUGAGAUUAAACGAGAGGAAGAAACUUAUUUUGUAAUAAUAAUAAUAACAGCAAAAAUCCAACCCAACUCAAACCAAUCCAAAUAAAAUCAAUGAAACAAAUGAAAAGAAAAAAAAACAAUGAGAGGCAGUAUAGUGUAGCAUUAAGACCUCAAUACAAGCAUGAUAUUAAAUGAGUUAAUACUCCUAAGGGGCUUAAGGCACAAAGUUCCUGGCACAACAAGUUUGCUAUAUAAGUAUUCACAAAUUAAAGGCUAAAUCUAUUGUGCUCUUUUGCUGUUCCAGGAAAUUUGCAAGCCUCUUACUUACACAAUUUCAUUUGAUUCUUCCAGUCACCUGUUGAGGUAGGUGCUAUGAUGAUUUGUCCCCAUUUUACAGAUGAUGAAAUGAAG